CCUACGUGGGGCAGCAGUGAGGAAUAUUGGUCAAUGGGCGCGAGCCUGAACCAGCCAAGUAGCGUGAAGGAUGACUGCCCUACGGGUUGUAAACUUCUUUUAUAAAGGAAUAAAGUGAGGGACGUGUGCCUUUUUGUAUGUACUUUAUGAAUAAGGAUCGGCUAAUUCCGUGCCAGCAGCCGUGGUAAUACGGAGGAUCCGAGCGUUAUCCGGAUUUAUUGGGUUUAAAGGGAGCGUAGAUGGGUUGUUAAGUCAGUUGUGAAAGUUUGCGGCUCAACCGUAAAAUUGCAAUUGAUACUGGCAGUCUUGAGUACAGUUGAGGUAGGCGGAAUUCGUGGUGUAGCGGUGAAAUGCUUAGAUAUCACGAAGAACUCCGAUUGCGAAGGCAGCUUACUAAACUGCCACUGACAUUGAUGCUCGAAAGUGUGGGUAUCAAACAGGAUUAGAUACCCGGGUAGUC
rnacentral:rRNA from 1 species